UACGAAGGGGACUAGCCUUGUUCGGAAUUACUGGGCGUAAAGCGCGCGUAGGCGGAUCGCUAAGUCAGGGGUGAAAUCCCAGGGCUCAACCCUGGAACUGCCUUUGAUACUGACGAUCUGGAGAUCGGGAGAGGUUGGUGGAAUUCCGAGUGUAGAGGUGAAAUUCGUAGAUAUUCGGAGGAACACCAGAAGCGAAGGCGGCCAACUGGCCCGAUACUGACGCUGAGGCGCGAAAGCGUGGGGAGCAAACAGG
rnacentral:rRNA from 1 species